GUGUCCACUUCAGCAGCACAUGUACUAAGAUUGGAACAAUAAAGAGAUUAGCAUGGCUCCUGCUUGAGGAUGGCAGGAACAUUUAUAAAGUGUUCUGUGUUUUC
rnacentral:snRNA from 1 species